rnacentral:lncRNA from 1 species
CGCAGGGGCGGGGAGCGUCGGCAUCGUCGUGUCCGAGAGCGGCUGGCCGUCGGCGGGGGGCGACGCGGCUAGCACGGACAACGCGCGGACCUACAACCAGAACCUCAUCAACCAUGUCGGACAGGGCACGCCCAAGCGCCCCGGGGCAAUCGAGACCUACAUCUUCGCCAUGUUCAACGAGGACCAGAAGCCCGGAGCCGAGACGGAGAAGCAUUUCGGCUUGUUCAACCCGGACAAAUCGCCGGUAUACGACAUCAAUUUCUGAGCGACGGACGGACGGAUUGAUGAUACUACAGCUACAGGAACAAGAUCAUAAUGAGAUAUGUAUAGAAAAUACAUACUACUACACACAUCACACCGCGAUACUUAAAAUUUGAUG